rnacentral:rRNA from 1 species
GGAGGAAAAGAAACCAACAGGGAUUGCCUCAGUAACGGCGAGUGAAGCGGCAAAAGCUCAAAUUUGAAAUCCCCCGGGAAUUGUAAUUUGAAGAGAUUUGGGUCCGGCCGGCAGGGGUUAAGUCCACUGGAAAGUGGCGCCACAGAGGGUGACAGCCCCGUGAACCCCYUYAAMGCCCUCAUCCCAGAUCUCCAAGAGUCGAGUUGUUUGGGAAUGCAGCUCUAAGUGGGUGGUAAAUUCCAUCUAAAGCUAAAUACCGGCGAGAGACCGAUAGCGAACAAGUACAGUGAUGGAAAGAUGAAAAGCACUUUGAAAAGAGAGUGAAAAAGUACGUGAAAUUGUUGAAAGGGAAGGGCUUGCAAGCAGACACUUAACUGGGCCAGCAUCGGGGCGGCGGGRARCAAAACCACCGGGGAAUGUACCUUUCGAGGAUUAUAACCCCGGUCYUWAYUYCCWYRYYRCCCCGAGGCCUGCAAUCUAAGGAUGCUGGCGUAAUGGUUGCAAGUCGCCCGUCUU